rnacentral:pre_miRNA from 1 species
ACAACUAGUGUGUGAUCCAAAGCUCAUUGAAGACAAUGGGAGUCUUUCAGUUGACUCCAAUGGGCUUUGGAUCAGGCCCUCAAUAU